UGUUGUUACUACUUUGUAGUUUAAAUUUCUAGGUAGAAUUAUGAUGAUGACAUUAUCUAUCUAUAGGUCUUGACCAAAUUACGUGCCAGCAGUCGCGGUAAUACGUAGAAGACAAGUGUUAUUCAUCUUUAUUAGGUUUAAAGAGUACCAAGACGGUUAAUAAAGCCCAAAAUACAUGAGCACAGGGGACACAUUAACUAGAGUUAUAUGAAAGGAAGCAUUAAGGUACUGUUGAGUGUAGAGAUGAAAUUCAGUCAUACCAGAUGAAAGGCACAGAUUUAUGCGAAGGCAUCUUCUUAUGUAAUAACUGACGUUGUAGGACGAAGGCUUUUUAAGUGAAGAGGAUUAGAUACCCUCGUAAUCUAAGCAGAAAAUGAUGAAUGUCAUAGGUUUAAUAUAUACACCAAAAAAAUGGUCUAUUAUUGGGUCUAUAAAUGAAAGUGUAAGCAUUCCACCUCAAGAGUAAUUUGGCAACAUUGGAACUGAAAUCAUUAGACCGUUUCUGAAACCAGUAGUGAAGUAUGUUGUUUAAUUAGAUGAUACACAAAGAACCUUACCACAAUUUGAAUAUAUAUCGUUAAUGAUAUUUACAAGCGUUGCACGGCUGUCUUCAGUUAAUGUCGUGAGAUUUUGGUUAGUUCCAUAAAAUUAACGUAAACCCUCGUUUUAUUUAUAAAUAAAAUU
rnacentral:rRNA from 1 species